GACGAACGCUGGCGGCGUGCCUAAUACAUGCAAGUCGAACGCAGUGGGGACGGGUGAGUAACACGUGGGUAACCUCCCAUCAGAGGGGAUAACACUUGGACACAGGUGCUAAACCGAUACUGAUGGAUGGACCCGCGGUGCAUUAGCUAGUGGGUGAGGUAACGGCUCACCAAGGCCCCGAUGCAUAGCGGACCGGAUAGGGUGAUCGGCAACACGGGGACUGAGAAACGGCCCAGAUUCCUACGGGAGGAAGAAGUAGGGAAGCUUCGGCAAUGGACGAAAGUCUGACCGAGCAACGCGGCGUGAGGGAAGAAGGUUUUCGGAUCGUAAAACUCUGUUGUUAGAGAAGCGGUAUCUAACCAGAAAGCCACGGCUAACUACGUGCCAGCAGCCGCGGUAAUUC
rnacentral:rRNA from 1 species